AUGGUGUCUAGCAGCUGUUUAUCGGUGGUCAUGUGUGGAGAUGAUUCACCCGUAGGGUCAGAAUUUGUUCACUUAAGAAACGGUGAAAAUAGAUGAAGUCUCGCACAAGAAAACCACCAGGCCAGUUGGUCGAUGUUAACGUGUAUGUCGGGUAUCGACCAAUUACAAAAGAAAAGACAAAACAAAUCCAUUACGAUCGCAACAGUUUCAUACUCACAUACAAUAUGUAAAUUGCAGGCCGUCUUAGUGUAGUUGAGGCACUCUGUAGUAAAUAUGAGGGCCAUUAAAUUCAUUUCCAUUAAGAACACUCGAUAUUCAUAACAAAUAAUGCCAGGCGCAUUCGCGAUGACCGAAAGACCCUGGACUAGCUAUUGCUCUGUCAUUGUUCGAUCGAGAAAAUGCAAAAUACAGGGCUUGCUUCUCAUCAUCCGCAUUGCAUGCGAAGUCCGACAUCGUGGAGAAAGCCUUGAGCUAGAGGAUGUUCUGAUGGUGUUCAUAAACAAGUGGCAAAAAGGGUGACGAUUACACAAUGCGUAACAUGCCAAAAGACUGUCACCGUCGACCCACCAUUGAAACCUACCGAAACGAAACGAACCGCAGUCAAGGAAAAUAAGUAUCACACUGUCGCCCCUCGCCGAUAUUCCAUAUCCUGGAAGCGAUCGUAGUGAUCAUGUGGAAACAUGGAACAGGCUUAUCCUCUGAGGGAGAGAAGAAAAAAAAGACGUAAGCAGCAAAAGAACUUUAGAUGAUUGAGAAGAUCGACGGUGGUAGCGAUCAGUGAUUAGAGGGAAACAGAUCAACAGUUCCUCUAGAUUAGCGCAGUUGACCAUUUGUAGGAGGUAACCAAAUAUGGUUGGGUACCAGCUGACUCUUCACGGGGCCAACACAGCCAUAACAAUUUGAACAAAGCAAAAUCACCCACCCCUGUCUUCUCAAACAGGUGACCUGAAUAUUAAUCAGUAUGACCAAUGAUUUCUCUCUUAGAAAUAUCAAAGAAAGUAACUCGUUUUUAAAAUAAAGCGCACAUUUAAUUUCAUAAAUAACUUGAUAAUCGCUAUAUAGACUCUUCGAUCAUUCAAUUGAAGUUUUCUUACAUUUUAAAAUCAA